UCCCAGCUGUAAACGAUGCAGACUCGGUGAUGCCCUGGCUUGUGGCCAGUGCAGUGCCGCAGGGAAGCCGUUAAGUUUGCCGCCUGGGAAGUACGUACGCAAGUAUGAAACUUAAAGGAAUUGGCGGGGGAGCACCACAAGGAGUGAAGCCUGCGGUUCAAUUGGAGUCAACGCCAGAAAUCUUACCCGAGGAGACAGCAGAAUGAAGGUCAAGCUGGAGACUUUACCAGACA
rnacentral:rRNA from 1 species